rnacentral:rRNA from 1 species
UGGGGAAUAUUGGACAAUGGGCGAAAGCCUGAUCCAGCAAUGCCGCGUGAGUGAUGAAGGCCUUCGGGUUGUAAAGCUCUUUCGCACGUGACGAUUAUGACGGUAACGUGAGAAGAAGCCCCGGCUAACUUCGUGCCAGCAGCCGCGGUAAUACGAAGGGGGCUAGCGUUGUUCGGAAUUACUGGGCGUAAAGGGCGCGUAGGCGGCUCACCAAGUCAGGCGUGAAAGCCCCGGGCUUAACCUGGGAACUGCGUUUGAGACUGUUGAGCUAGAGUUCAGGAGAGGCGGGUGGAAUUCCCAGUGUAGAGGUGAAAUUCGUAGAUAUUGGGAAGAACACCGGUGGCGAAGGCGGCCCGCUGGACUGAUACUGACGCUGAGGCGCGAAAGCGUGGGGAGCAAACAGG